UACAGAGGUCUCAAGCGUUGUUCGGAUUCAUUGGGCGUAAAGGGUGCGUAGGCGGCGCGGUAAGUCGGGUGUGAAAUCUCGGAGCUUAACUCCGAAACUGCAUUCGAUACUGCCGUGCUUGAGGACUGGAGAGGAGACUGGAAUUUACGGUGUAGCGGUGAAAUGCGUAGAUAUCGAGAGGAACACCUGCGGCGAAGGCGGGUUGCUGGGCUGACACUGACGCUGAGACGCGAAAGCGUGGGGAGCGAACAGG
rnacentral:rRNA from 1 species